rnacentral:lncRNA from 1 species
ACACGACUCCUGAUAGCCAGUUUGGGACUGAGCAUGUGCUUCGGAUCCAUGUAUUAGAGGCCCAGGACCUGAUUGCCAAAGACCGUUUCUUGGGGGGACUGGUGAAGGGCAAGUCAGACCCCUAUGUCAAACUAAAGUUGGCAGGACGAAGCUUCCGGAGCCAUGUUGUUCGGGAAGAUCUCAAUCCCCGCUGGAAUGAGGUUUUUGAGGUGAUCGUCACAUCAGUUCCAGGCCAAGAGCUAGAGGUUGAAGUCUUUGACAAGGACUUGGACAAGGAUGAUUUUCUGGGCAGGUGUAAAGUGCGUCUCACCACAGUCUUAAACAGUGGCUUCCUUGAUGAGUGGCUGACCCUGGAGGAUGUCCCAUCUGGCCGCCUGCACUUGCGCCUGGAGCGUCUCACCCCCCGUCCCACUGCUGCUGAGUUAGAGGAGGUAGGGCAGGAGACUUGAGGAAGGAAGGGACCCAAGGUGGGGCAGGAUGAGCUCUUCUCUUAGCGUUCAAGGCACAUGCCAGAACCCAAGGUGUCAGUUACCACUCCCCAGCCCCGUGUGCCCCUCCACAGGUGCUGCAGGUGAAUAGUUUGAUCCAGACUCA